UACGAAGGGGGCUAGCGUUGUUCGAAAUUACUGGGCGUAAAGCGCACGUAGGCGGAUCCUUAAGUCAGGGGUGAAAUCCCGAGGCUCAACCUCGGAACUGCCUUUGAUACUGGGGAUAUCGAGUCCGGGAGAGGUGAGUGGAACUGCGAGUGUAGAGGUGAAAUUCGUAGAUAUUCGCAAGAACACCAGUGGCGAAGGCGGCUCACUGGCCCGGAACUGACGCUGAGACGCGAAAGCGUGGGGAGCAAACAGG
rnacentral:rRNA from 1 species